GUGUUUGCUUUGGCAGCUCCUGUACUGAAAUUGGAAUGAUACAGAGGUCACCACAGCCCCUGGGCAAGGGUGACAUGCAAAUCCGUGAGGUGUUCCAUAUUUUU